UACGUAGGGUCCAAGCGUUAUCCGGAAUCACUGGGCGUAAAGCGUGCGUAGGUGGAUUGUUAAGUGCGGUGCGAAAUCCUGUGGCUCAACCAUAUGGACUGUAUCGCAUACUGGCAAUCUAGAGGACAUGAGAGGCGAGUGGAAUUACUGGUGUAGCAGUGAAAUGCGUAGAGAUCAGUAGGAACACCAAUGGCGAAGGCAGCUUGCUGGCAUGUAUCUGACGCUAAGGCACGAAAGCGUGGGGAGCGAACAGG
rnacentral:rRNA from 1 species